CCUACGGGUGGCAGCAGUGAGGAAUAUUGGUCAAUGGACGAGAGUCUGAACCAGCCAAGUAGCGUGAAGGAUGACUGCCCUAUGGGUUGUAAACUUCUUUUAUAUGGGAAUAAAAUGUUCCACGUGUGGGAGUUUGUAUGUACCAUAUGAAUAAGGAUCGGCUAACUCCGUGCCAGCAGCCGCGGUAAUACGGAGGAUCCGAGCGUUAUCCGGAUUUAUUGGGUUUAAAGGGAGCGUAGGUGGGUUGUUAAGUCAGUUGUGAAAGUUUGCGGCUCAACCGUAAAAUUGCAGUUGAAACUGGCAGUCUUGAGUACAGGAGAGGUAGGCGGAAUGCGUGGUGUAGCGGUGAAAUGCGUAGAUAUUAGGAGGAACACCAGUGGUGAAGGCGGUCUGCUGGACAGCAACUGACGCUGAGGCGCGAAAGCGUGGGGAUCAAACAGGAUUAGAUACCCUUGUAGUC
rnacentral:rRNA from 1 species